AUUGAACGCUGGCGGCAUGCCUUACACAUGCAAGUCGAGCGGCAGCGCGGGGGCAACCCUGGCGGCGAGCGGCGAACGGGUGAGUAAUGCAUCGGAACGUGUCCUCUUGUGGGGGAUAACCAGUCGAAAGAUUGGCUAAUACCGCAUGAGCUCGCGAGAGGAAAGCAGGGGACCCGCAAGGGCCUUGCGCGAGAGGAGCGGCCGAUGCCGGAUUAGCUAGUUGGCGGGGUAAUGGCCCACCAAGGCGACGAUCCGUAGCUGGUCUGAGAGGACGACCAGCCACACUGGGACUGAGACACGGCCCAGACUCCUACGGGAGGCAGCAGUGGGGAAUUUUGGACAAUGGGGGCAAGCCUGAUCCAGCGACGCCGCGUGUGUGAAGAAGGCCUGCGGGUUGUAAAGCACUUUCGAUGGGAACGAAAUGUGCCGGGUUAACACCCCGGCAAGCUGACGUUACUCAAUGAAGAAGCACCGGCUAACUCUGUGCC
rnacentral:rRNA from 1 species